rnacentral:tRNA from 1 species
GGAGUUGUGCCUGAGCUAAAGGGUCACUUUGAUAGAGUGAAUAACGGGGGUUAACCUCCCCCCAACUCCU